GAAUUUUAUAAAAUUAUUUUAAAAAUUAUUUAAUAAUUUUAUUUAAUUGGGAGGAUUUUUAAAUUUAAAUAACUUUAAAUAUAAAUUAAACAUUAAUUUAUGAUAAUUAUAAAUAAAUAAAUAUUAUUUAAAUAAAAAUUAAUUACCUUAGGGAUAACAGCAUAAAAUUUUUUUGUAGUUCUUAUAUAAAAAAAUAUUUGU
rnacentral:rRNA from 1 species